CCUACGGGUGGCUGCAGUGAGGAAUAUUGGUCAAUGGACGGAAGGCUGAACCAGCCAAGCCGCGUGCAGGAAGAAGGCUCCAAGCAUUGUAAACUUCUUUUGUCAGGGGACAAACUCAGGCACGCGAACCUGACUGAAGGUACCUGAAGAAUAAGCAUCGGCUAACUCCGUGCCAGCAGCCGCGGUAAUACGGAGGAUUCGAGCGUUAUCCGGAUUUAUUGGGUUUAAAGGGUGCGUAGGCGGGAGGAUAAGUUAGGGGUGAAAUCCCGAGGCUCAACCUCGGGAGUGCGUUUGAAACUGGCUGGCUUGAGAGGAGGAGAGGUAGGCGGAAUGCGUGGUGUAGCGGUGAAAUGCUUAGAUAUCAUGCAGAACACCGAUUGCGAAGGCAGCUUACCGG
rnacentral:rRNA from 1 species